rnacentral:rRNA from 1 species
GAUGAACGCUAGCUACAGGCUUAACACAUGCAAGUCGAGGGGCAGCAUGAGGUCAGCUUGCUGACUUUGAUGGCGACCGGCGCACGGGUGAGUAACGCGUAUCCAACCUUCCCGCGACUGGGGGAUAACCUUGCGAAAGUAAGACUAAUACCCCAUGGUUUCCGAGGCGGACAUCCAAUUUGGAAUAAAGAUUCAUCGGUUGUGGAUGGGGAUGCGUCUGAUUAGCUUGUUGGCGGGGUAACGGCCCACCAAGGCUACGAUCAGUAGGGGUUCUGAGAGGAAGGUCCCCCACAUUGGAACUGAGACACGGUCCAAACUCCUACGGGAGGCAGCAGUGAGGAAUAUUGGUCAAUGGACGAGAGUCUGAACCAGCCAAGUAGCGUGCAGGAUGACGGCCCUAUGGGUUGUAAACUGCUUUUAUACGGGAAUAAAGUCAACCACGUGUGUUGUUUGUAUGUACCGUAUGAAUAAGGACCGGCUAACUCCGUGCCAGCCGCCGCGGUAACAC